GAAAAAAAAAGAAGGUCCGAGCAAUCUCAGAUAUAUGAGAGGCCAAGAUGGGAAGAUCACUUGGGUAAGACUGGGAAGAUUGAGUCUGCAGUGAGUCACAGUCGCAUCAUUCUGCUGGAUUUGAAUGGUACUGCUUCUGGCCCAAGUUGUCUGGGCAACCUUAGACAUGGCUGGAAACACUCUUUUUGUAGAACAUACAAAUGGACAUUUCUAAGCACAUUGAGGCCUAUAAUGAAAAAUCAAAUAUCCCACAAUGAAAACUAGAAGGAAGCUAUCUGUGAUAAUGCUUUGUGGUGUAUGGAUUCAUCUCACUGACUGAAACCUGAGUUUUGAUUCACCAGGUUAAAAACACUAUUUUUGUAGACUCUACGAAGAAACAUUUCUGAAACCAUUGAAACCUAUGGGGGAAAAAAACCCCCGAAAUUCCUGUGAUAAGAAAUGGAAAGCAGCUAUCUGUGAAAAUGCUUUGUAAUGUGUGGAUUCUUCUCACAGA
ensembl:lncRNA LINC00662 long intergenic non-protein coding RNA 662